AUGACUUUUUUGGAUGGACUUAUAGUUUUCAGAGAAAAACUGAGUGCGACCUCACCAGUGAUUUACGAUGAGAAGACAAGGUGCCUUAAUGGCAGAAUCAAGAGAGAAGUCAAGAUACUGAACUGCAACUUGAUUUCACUGCAGAAUGGAGCAAAUGGUUUCACUGCUCUGGUCAGCAGUUUCCUUCCAGAAGCUAUAAGUCUGCUCGGAGCGCACUCAUCCCCUGCUCAGUUACUCAUCCAGGGGAGCACUCUCUGUGCUCCCCGGAGCACAGCUGAGAAGGAUAGGUCUACUAGCUCACUCCUAGUCCAAAAUAGAGUUUGUGGAAUCCAGGCACUAAACUGUGGUUCUUUUACCAAUAAAUGAUUCCUUGCUCAAAC
rnacentral:lncRNA from 1 species